rnacentral:rRNA from 1 species
GCGAAAGCGAGUCUGAAUAGGGCGAAUGAGUUAGAUGGAUUAGACCCGAAACCCGGCGAUCUAGGCAUGACCAGGUUGAAGGUGCGGUAACACGCACUGGAGGACCGAACCAUUUAAUGUUGAAAAAUUAUUGGAUGAGUUGUGUUUAGGGGUGAAAGGCCAAUCAAGCCGGGAAAUAGCUGGUUCUCCGCGAAAACUAUUGAGGUAGUGCCUCGGACGUUUUCCUAUGGGGGUAGAGCACUGGAUGGGCUAGGGGGUCGCGAGACCUACCAAACCUAACCAAACUCCGAAUACCAUAGAGACAAGUCCGGGAGACAGACGGCGGGUGCUAAGGUCCGUCGUCAAAAGGGAAACAGCCCUAACCUACAGCUAAGGUCCCCAAGUCAUUACUAAGUGGGAAAGCAUGUGGGAAUCCCAAAACAACCAGGAGGUUGGCUUAGAAGCAGCCAUCCUUUAAAGAAAGCGUAACAGCUCACUGGUCUAAAUAAGGGUUCCUGCGGCGAAGAUGUAACGGGGCUAAAGUAAUGCACCGAAGCUUAGGGUUCAGAAUUUAUUCUGAGCGGUAGCGGAGCGUUCCGUAAGCGGAUGAAGCCGAAGGGUAACCGACGGUGGACGUAUCGGAAGUGCGAAUGCUGACAUGAGUAGCGACAAACAGUGUGAGAUGCACUGUCGCCGAAAGCCCAAGGGUUCCUGCUUAAAGCUAAUCUGAGCAGGGUGAGUCGGCCCCUAAGACGAGCCCGAAGGGGGUAGUCGAUGGGAACACGGUUAAUAUUCCGUGACCUGGUGGAAUGUGACGGAUCUCGUGUGUUGUCUGAUCUUAUUGGAUUGAUCAGGCUUCGAAGAGGUUCCAGGAAAUAGCUCCACCAUAUAGACCGUACCCUAAACCGACACAGGUGGGCAGGUAGAGUAUACCAAGGCGCUUGAGAGAAGUAUCCUGAAGGAACUCGGCAAAUUACCUCCGUAACUUCGGGAGAAGGAGGCCCUAUCAGAAGGCAACUUUUGGUAGGGGGCACAAGCUGGGGGGUAGCGACUGUUUAGCAAAAACACAGGACUCUGCUAAGUCGGCUUCAAGACGACGUAUAGGGUCUGACGCCUGCCCGGUGCUCGAAGGUUAAGAGGAGGAGUGCAAGCUCUGAAUUGAAGCCCGAGUAAACGGCGGCCGUAACAAUAA